UCUGCAUUUUUGGAGUCAUUUCAUUUCUAGCAGGCUUAUGUUUUUUAAUGCUGUAAAUUUCAGGUUUUAUCAUGGUGAUCCAGUGCUAAAUCCUCUUACACCUUGGGAAAGACCUCCAUUGAAAAACAUUUUCUGUAUACAUGGGAUAGAUAUGAAGAUUGAGGAUUUACAUCACUUCAGCCUAAAUUUAGACCAUAUAGAGGAUUUGUUUUUUUUUUUUUUAAAUUCAAGACCAUUUUCAAUUUAUUGUAAUAAAUAUUAUAUUUCUUUUAUUGUGUAGUAAUAUAAAUUUUGUUUAAUAUUCA